UGCAGAAGUUACCAGAGAGCAGCUCAGCAUCCAGAGAGAAACACUCUGUGGAUGAACAUGGAGCUGCACUGUUGAAGAGAGUAAAAGAACAGGAAGCUGUCAGACAGAUUCUCUUGGAAACACUGAAUGAAUUCAGUCAAAAGGAUCUCGAAA